UACGUAGGGUGCAAGCGUUAAUCGGAAUUACUGGGCGUAAAGCGUGCGCAGGCGGUCUGUUAAGACCGAUGUGAAAUCCCCGGGCUCAACCUGGGAACUGCAUUUGUGACUGCAAGGCUGGAGUGCGGCAGAGGGGGAUGGAAUUCCGCGUGUAGCAGUGGAAUGCGUAGAUAUGCGGAGGAACACCGAUGGCGAAGGCAAUCCCCUGGGCCUGCACUGACGCUCAUGCACGAAAGCGUGGGGAGCAAAAGGG
rnacentral:rRNA from 1 species